CGCCAGACCCCAGGGCAGGCCCAGAGCCGGGGGAGGUGGCCUUGCCGCCGGUCCGUCAAGGACCCAGUGCAGCGCCCGGGUCAAUGCGUCAUUCUUCAGCGAGUGUUGAACAGGAGUUCUGUGCACUGGUAAAUAUUUCAGCACCGAAGAAGGAGAGGACGGAAUUUACAUGGAGGGUUGAAGGGCCCUGGCCUUCCCGGAGCUUCUAGAAGUACUGUCUUCGGCAGCCCUGGGCCGUGGCCCCCCUUCUCCCCCGGGGGCUGUGGGCCCUGCCCCACCCUUAUUUUGUUCUGACCUCGGGCGCUUCCCCAUCCUGGAAGGCCUCCUGACCUCCCGCCUGGCGACUGCGGUGUGUUCUCCCACACCCCCUCCCACGGCAGAUCACCUGUUUCUGAGAUCGGUUCCACUUCCCACCAGACGGGGCCGUGUGAGGACUAGGGGUGCGGCCUAGCACGCCAGCAGCUCUGCCCACUCAGCCCCUGGCUCAGUGGCCCAGCCACCCCCGACCCUGAACCCCUGCUUCCGCAGGGCCGCCUGCCCCCCAGCUCCGAGCCCAGGCCUUUCCGACCCGAGCACACGCAGACCCCACGGCCGGGCCCAAGGGCUCCCACUCCCCUGUGCGUGGCCCCCGCGGUCUUGCCUCCUGGGAUUCAGGCCUGGUGAGCCCCCUCCCGAGAGAAGUCCGGAUUGGUGAGGCUGAGAGGACCCUGGAGGGGCAGACGGUCACUGCCACAGCGGAGCGACAGGGCAUGGCCCGCUGUGCCCAGGCCUGUGAGCGCCCACAGGCCGCCCCUGACUCUGGAGCUGCAGCCGCAUCCUCCCCUGAAGUGCCUGGGUCCCACACGGGUGACCUGACUCAGGUGAGCUGGUCACCCUCCUGGCCCACGGAGGGGACUGCACGGUCGUCCUGGCUCAUGAGGUUGUCCUGAGCAGUGAGUCAACACAAAAACACAGAGGCUCUCAGGACGCUGCCUGCCUUCUGCUGACGCCUGGGCCGCCAUACUCAGCGGUGUCUUGAGGACGUCUCCGGCUGACGGACCAGAGAAGCCGUUCUUCCCACUGCCAGGCCCCAAAUAAUGACCCAAAUAAUGAGUCAUUUUCAGAAGGAAGCCAAGCAAGGUUCAGACGCCUAAGAAACAGAACACGCUGGGAAGGUUUUCUAACCAAUCAGCCUUCAUGUUCAGUUCAGUUAGACAAGUGACCAGACUGAGGCGCCUCUCCCGCCGUCCACUCUCUUACGCGGCAGAAGCUCGUCCCGAGACCUUGUCUCUGGACCGGCCACACCCCGGGGACGAGGCCCCAGCUGGCUGGCCCUCCCCGGGCCGAUGCUAAUGGGUUCCGGGGGCGCUGUGUAAGUCCACACCCCUAGGCCGGCCGCUGCCUCCUCCCCUCCCCUCCCAGGCGCAGCGAGGCCCACGGGAGAGCCGGCCACGCUCCUGCGGCUUCGGCAGCUCUCCACCCCAGCCCACCUGCGGCAGGCACCC
ensembl:lncRNA